AACGAACGCUGGCGGCAUGCCUAACACAUGCAAGUCGAACGAGACCUUCGGGUCUAGUGGCGCACGGGUGCGUAACGCGUGGGAACCUGCCCUUAGGUUCGGAAUAACUCCCCGAAAGGGGUGCUAAUACCGGAUAAUGUCUUCGGACCAAAGAUUUAUUGCCUUUGGAUGGGCCCGCGUUGGAUUAGCUAGUUGGUAGGGUAAAAGCCUACCAAGGCGACGAUCCAUAGCUGGGCUGAGAGGAUGAUCAGCCACACUGGGACUGAGACACGGCCCAGACUCCUACGGGAGGCAGCAGUGGGGAAUAUUGGACAAUGGGCGAAAGCCUGAUCCAGCAAUGCCGCGUGAGUGAUGAAGGCCUUAGGGUUGUAAAGCUCUUUUACCCGGGAUGAUAAUGACAGUACCGGGAGAAUAAGCUCCGGCUAACUCCGUG
rnacentral:rRNA from 1 species